GACGAACGCUGGCGGCGUGCCUAAUACAUGCAAGUUGAGCGAUGAAGAUUGGUGCUUGCACCAAUUUGAAGAGCAGCGAACGGGUGAGUAACGCGUGGGGAAUCUGCCUUUGGGCGGGGGACAACAUUUGGAAACGAAUGCUAAUACCGCAUAACAACUUUAAACAUAAGUUUUAAGUUUGAAAGAUGCAAUUGCAUCACUCAAAGAUGAUCCCGCGUUGUAUUAGCUAGUUGGUGAGGUAAAGGCUCACCAAGGCGAUGAUACAUAGCCGACCUGAGAGGGUGAUCGGCCGCAUUGGGACUGAGACACGGCCCAAACUCCUACGGGAGGCAGCAGUAGGGAAUCUUCGGCAAUGGGCGAAAGUCUGACCGAGCAACGCCGCGUGAGUGAAGAAGGUUUUCGGAUCGUAAAACUCUGUUGGUAGAGAAGAACGUUGGUGAGAGUGGAAAGCUCAUCAAGUGACGGUAACUACCCAGAAAGGGACGGCUAACUACGUG
rnacentral:rRNA from 1 species